CGAAUGCUGACAUAAGUAACGAUAAAGCGGGUGAAAAGCCCGCUCGCCGGAAGACCAAGGGUUCCUGUCCAACGUUAAUCGGGGCAGGGUGAGUCGACCCCUAAGGCGAGGCCGAAAGGCGUAGUCGAUGGGAAACAGGUUAAUAUUCCUGUACUUGGUGUUACUGCGAAGGGGGGACGGAGAAGGCUAUGUUGGCCGGGCGACGGUUGUCCCGGUUUAAGCGUGUAGGCUGGUUUUCCAGGCAAAUCCGGAAAAUCAAGGCUGAGGCGUGAUGACGAGGCACUACGGUGCUGAAGCAACAAAUGCCCUGCUUCCAGGAAAAGCCUCUAAGCAUCAGGUAACAUCAAAUCGUACCCCAAACCGACACAGGUGGUCAGGUAGAGAAUACCAAGGCGCUUGAGAGAACUCGGGUGAAGGAACUAGGCAAAAUGGUGCCGUAACUUCGGGAGAAGGCACGCUGAUAUGUAGGUGAAGUCCCUCGCGGAUGGAGCUGAAAUCAGUCGAAGAUACCAGCUGGCUGCAACUGUUUAUUAAAAACACAGCACUGUGCAAACACGAAAGUGGACGUAUACGGUGUGACGCCUGCCCGGUGCCGGAAGGUUAAUUGAUGGGGUCAGCGCAAGCGAAGCUCUUGAUCGAAGCCCCGGUAAACGGCGGCCGUAACUAUAACGGUCCUAAGGUAGCGAAAUUCCUUGUCGGGUAAGUUCCGACCUGCACGAAUGGCGUAAUGAUGGCCAGGCUGUCUCCACCCGAGACUCAGUGAAAUUGAACUCGCUGUGAAGAUGCAGUGUACCCGCGGCAAGACGGAAAGACCCCGUGAACCUUUACUAUAGCUUGACACUGAACAUUGAGCCUUGAUGUGUAGGAUAGGUGGGAGGCUUUGAAGUGUGGACGCCAGUCUGCAUGGAGCCGGCCUUGAAAUACCACCCUUUAAUGUUUGAUGUUCUAACGUUGACCCGUGAUCCGGGUUGCGGACAGUGUCUGGUGGGUAGUUUGACUGGGGCGGUCUCCUCCUAAAGAGUAACGGAGGAGCACGAAGGUUGGCUAAUCCUGGUCGGACAUCAGGAGGUUAGUGCAAUGGCAUAAGCCAGCUUGACUGCGAGCGUGACGGCGCGAGCAGGUGCGAAAGCAGGUCAUAGUGAUCCGGUGGUUCUGAAUGGAAGGGCCAUCGCUCAACGGAUAAAAGGUACUCCGGGGAUAACAGGCUGAUACCGCCCAAGAGUUCAUAUCGACGGCGGUGUUUGGCACCUCGAUGUCGGCUCAUCACAUCCUGGGGCUGAAGUAGGUCCCAAGGGUAUGGCUGUUCGCCAUUUAAAGUGGUACGCGAGCUGGGUUUAGAACGUCGUGAGACAGUUCGGUCCCUAUCUGCCGUGGGCGCUGGAGAACUGAGGGGGGCUGCUCCUAGUACGAGAGGACCGGAGUGGACGCAUCACUGGUGUUCGGGUUGUCAUGCCAAUGGCACUGCCCGGUAGCUAAAUGCGGAAGAGAUAAGUGCUGAAAGCAUCUAAGCACGAAACUUGCCCCGAGAUGAGUUCUCCCUGACUCCUUGAGAGUCCUGAAGGAACGUUGAAG
rnacentral:rRNA from 1 species